rnacentral:rRNA from 1 species
CGUAGGAGACGAGCGUUGUCCGGAAUUACUGGGCGUAAAGCGCGUGUAGGCGGAUGAGCAAGUCUGCUGUGAAAGCUCCUGGCUUAACCGGGAGUGGUCGGUGGAAACUGCUCGUCUGGAGGACGGUAGAGGUAGGUAGAAUUCCCGGUGUAGUGGUGAAAUGCGUAGAGAUCGGGAGGAAUACCUGUGGCGAAGGCGGCCUACUGGGCCGGACCUGACGCUGAGACGCGAAGGCGUGGGGAGCGAACGGGAUUAGAUACCCCGGUAGUCCACGCAGUAAACGAUGUGUACUAGGUGUGGCGGGUAUCAAGCCCCGCCGUGCCGGAGCCAACGCUGUAAGUACACCGCCUGGGGAGUACGGCCGCAAGGUUA